rnacentral:misc_RNA from 1 species
GAUGAAGAACGCAGCGAAAUGCGAUAAGUAAUGUGAAUUGCAGAAUUCAGUGAAUCAUCGAAUCUUUGAACGCACAUUGCGCCCGCUAGUAUUCUGGCGGGCAUGCCUGUCCGAGCGUCAUUUCAACCCUCAAGCCCCCGGGCUUGGCGUUGGGGAUCGGCGAGCCUCCGCGCCCGCCGUCCCCUAAAUCUAGUGGCGGUCUCGCUGUAGCUUCCUCUGCGUAGUAGCACACCUCGCACUGGGAAACAGCGCGGCCACGCCGUUAAACCCCCAACUUCUGAACGUUUGACCUCGGAUCAGGUAGGAAUACCCGCUGAACUUAAGCAUAUCAAUAAGCGGAGGA